UCUUAUGGAUGAGCAAAAUAGUGAUUUCCUGGGAUGGAAUCUACUCCUGGUGAAGAUGCUGUGAA
rnacentral:pre_miRNA from 3 species